AUUGAACGCUGGCGGCAGGCCUAACACAUGCAAGUCGAACGAGUGGCGGACGGGUGAGUAAUGUCUGGGAAACUGCCUGAUGGAGGGGGAUAACUACUGGAAACGGUAGCUAAUACCGCAUACCAUCGGAUGUGCCCAGAUUGGAUUAGCUAGUAGGUGGGGUAAAGGCUAACCUAGGCGACGAUCCCUAGCUGGUCUGAGAGGAUGACCAGUCAUACUGGAACUGAGACACGGUCGAGACUCCUACGUGAGGCAGGAGUGGGGAAUAUUGGACAAUGGGCGCAAGCCUGAUGUAGCCAUGCUGCGUGUGUGAAUAAGGGCUGCGGGUUGGAAAUUACUUUCAUCGGGGAGGCGUUACCAGCAGGAGAAGCACCUGCUAAUUCCGUGCCAGCAGCCGCGGGAAUUC
rnacentral:rRNA from 1 species